UACGUAGGGGGCUAACGUUGUCCGGAAUCAUUGGGCGUAAAGAGCGUGUAGGCGGCCCGGUAAGUCCGCUGUAAAAGUCAAAGGCUCAACCUUUGAAUGUCAGUGGAUACUGCCGGGCUAGAGUCCGGAAGAGGCGAGUGGAACUCCUGGUGUAGCGGUGGAAUGCGCAGAUAUCAGGAAGAACACCAACGGCGAAGGCAGCUCGCUGGGACGGUACUGACGCUGAGACGCGAAAGCGUGGGGAGCGAACAGG
rnacentral:rRNA from 1 species